rnacentral:tRNA from 1 species
GCGGCUAUGGCGAAACUGGCAGACGCGAUAGAUUUAGGUUCUAUUGCCCGUGAGGGCGUGGAGGUUCAAGUCCUCUUGGCCGCACCA